rnacentral:rRNA from 1 species
GACGAACGCUGGCGGCGUGCUUAACACAUGCAAGUCGAACGAAGUGGCGAACGGGUGAGUAACGCGUAAUCAAACUGCCCUUCAGAGGGGGACAAAAGUUGGAAACGACUGCUAAUACCGCAUACGGAAGGAGGGGAUUGCGUCUGAUUAGGGGGUUGGAGGGGGAACGGCCCACCAAGGCGAAGAUCAGUAGCCGGUCUGCAGGGAUGAACGGGCACAUUGGGACUGUGACACGGCCCAGACUCCUACGGGAGGCAGCAGGGGGGAAUCUUCCGCAAUGGACGAAAGUCUUACGGAGCAACGCCGCGUGAGUGAUGACGGCCUUCGGGUUGUAAAGCUCUGUUAAUCGGGACGCAGUACCGGAAUAGAAAGCCACGGCUAACUACGUGCCAGCAGCCGCGGUAAUAC